rnacentral:lncRNA from 1 species
AAAGAUAGCCACAUCCAAGAUUAGCAACUCCAUGAUCUUCUUCAAAAUUCCCCAUGUAUUAGAUGACUUCAAAGAUGGCAUUAGAUACAGGUUCAAAAUAAUAGCUUCAAUAUGAUCAUGUUGCAGAUGAACUCAAAUGGAUCUUCAAUAUUGUAUCAGAUGAAAGUUUUCUUCACAAACACUUGGUUUCAUGAAAGUUGGC